rnacentral:rRNA from 1 species
UACAGAGGGUGCGAGCGUUAAUCGGAAUUACUGGGCGUAAAGGGUGCGUAGGUGGUUACGUAAGUUAAUUGUGAAAGUCCUGGGCUUAACCUGGGGAUUGCAGUUAAUACUGUGUGACUAGAGUGUUGUAGAGGUAAGCGGAAUUUCCGGUGUAGCGGUGAAAUGCGUAGAUAUCGGAAGGAACAUCAAUGGCGAAGGCAGCUUUCUGGACAAAUACUGACACUGAGGCACGAAAGCGUGGGGAGCAAACAGG